rnacentral:rRNA from 1 species
GAUGAACGCUGGCGGCGUGCCUAAUACAUGCAAGUCGAGCGAACCACUUCGGUGGUGAGCGGCGAACGGGUGAGUAACACGUAGGAAUCUACCUAGUAGUGGGGGAUAGCUCGGGGAAACUCGAAUUAAUACCGCAUACGACCUACGGGUGAAAGGGGGCGCAAGCUCUUGCUAUUAGAUGAGCCUAAAUCAGAUUAGCUAGUUGGUGGGGUAAAGGCCUACCAAGGCGACGAUCUGUAACUGGUCUGAGAGGAUGAUCAGUCACACCGGAACUGAGACACGGUCCGGACUCCUACGGGAGGCAGCAGUGGGGAAUAUUGGACAAUGGGGGCAACCCUGAUCCAGCCAUGCCGCGUGUGUGAAGAAGGCCUUUUGGUUGUAAAGCACUUUAAGCAGGGAGGAGAGGCUAAUGGUUAAUACCCAUUAGAUUAGACGUUACCUGCAGAAUAAGCACCGGCUAACUCUGUGCCAGCAGCCGCGGUAAAUGCGUACU